rnacentral:rRNA from 1 species
AUUGAACGCUGGCGGCAUGCUUUACACAUGCAAGUCGAACGGUAACAGGCCGCAAGGUGCUGACGAGUGGCGAACGGGUGAGUAAUGCAUCGGAACGUGCCCAGUCGUGGGGGAUAACGCAGCGAAAGCUGCGCUAAUACCGCAUACGAUCUGUGGAUGAAAGCGGGGGACCUUCGGGCCUCGCGCGAUUGGAGCGGCCGAUGUCAGAUUAGGUAGUUGGUGGGGUAAAGGCUCACCAAGCCGACGAUCUGUAGCUGGUCUGAGAGGACGACCGGCCACACUGGGACUGAGACACGGCCCAGACGCCUACGGGAGGCAGCAGUGGGGAAUUUUGGACAAUGGGGGCAACCCUGAUCCAGCAAUGCCGCGUGCAGGAAGAAGGCCUUCGGGUUGUAAACUGCUUUUGUACGGAACGAAAAGGCUCUGGUUAAUACCUGGGGCACAUGACGGUACCGUAAGAAUAAGCACCGGCUAACUACGUGCCAGCCGCCGCCGUAACAC